ensembl:rRNA 5S_rRNA 5S ribosomal RNA
AUCUAUGGCCAUACCACCUGAUCCCUGAAAGCUAAGCAUGAUCAAACCUGGCCAGUGCUUGGAUGGGAGACCGCCUGGGAACACCCGGUGCUGUAUGCU